UCCUGGUUAGCUCACUUGGUAGAGUGCUCCACCUGUAAUGGAGAGGUCCCGGGUUCGAUACCCGGACCUGGCG
rnacentral:tRNA from 1 species